UUUUUAGUGGAGGAGUGAUACUUGCCUUUAAAUCACCUGGAACAUCUAGGGAAAAAAAUUAGCAGCUCUUCAAGCACAGAAGCUUUUCUUCAGGGAAGUUUGGAAGGCUGAUGCGUUGAUGUGGAAUUCCUGGCGCCCUUCCCUGUCCAUGGGGAGCAGGAGGCUUUGCUGGAGCUGCAGAGGGUGGCCGGGCAGGUGCCAUUGUCACCGGGAGAUGGACGGGUCACUCCCGGGAAGCACAGAUGAACGCCGGCGUUAGAACAGGCUGAAAUAGCAGUCCCCUGGAAGAGCUGGAAAAUACACAAAAACUGCUCAACUGAUUUCAGAAGAUAAACAGAAGUGAAAAUUUUGUGAUCAAGCAUCGACUUACAGGACUGGACAAACACAGAUAGGCACACACAACUCCUGGGGGCUCUGUUCCUGGCUCCACACACCUUGCAGGCAGCCACAAGGGAACCACACAGAAGAGGAAGAAGAACCAAGAGUACUGGGGUCAGAGCUGGAGCAAGGCUCCUCAGCAGGGCUGGCAAGACUGAAUUUUGCUGCCUCAGCUGUGAGAGCUUGGGAUGAGGCUGGGUGACCUUGGAACUGUCGGAGUUGAGAAGGUGGGGAG